AGUCAAAUACAUCAAAUAAAGUUAUAAAAUUGCAAAAAAAUAAAGAGGAAUUACCCAAACUGAAGUGCAAAAAAAGAAACACCAAGCAGGAUAAAUACCAAAACAACACAGCCCCUCACCAAACCCAUGCAUCUAGGCAUAUCAUAUUAAAACUGCUGAAAACCAAAGAGAAAGAAAAUCUGGAAGUCAGCCAAGGGGGAAAAAACAUAAUAUCUUACCGAGGAGCGAGGAUAAGAAUUACAGCAGACUGCUAGUCAGAAACAAUAAAAGCAAAAUGAAAUGGAGUAAUAUCUUUUUUUUUUUU
rnacentral:lncRNA from 10 species